GUGCUUGCUUCGGCAUCACAUAUACUAAAAUUGGAAUGAUACAGAGAAGACUAGCAUGGCCCCCUUGCAAGGAUGACAUGCAAAUUUGUGAAGCAUUCCAUAUUUUU
ensembl:snRNA U6 U6 spliceosomal RNA